rnacentral:lncRNA from 13 species
GAGGAAACUGAGGCUCAGAAAGAAGAUAAACAACUAGGUCAAGGUGGCAACAGGUGAACUGUGGCAGAGCGUGAUUUGCAUCCAGGUUCACCUGCCUCCAAAGCUUAUACUCCUUUCCGUGUGCUACACUACAUGAGUACCUCCCAAUCUUUGGAGCCAAGGUAUAAGCCCUAGAAGCACGUGUUGGCCCUUAAAAGUGGCCAUUUCAAAGGCACGAUGCUCCUUUGCUUGCAAAAAUUCUUGUUUGAUUUGUUAAAGGUCUAUUGUUUCAUUGGUCCCAUCUCAUUUUAUUUCAGAUAGAAAAUGUUUACAACUGAAAUAAUGGAAAGUUAUCCAUGAGCGAACGUGGCAAAUGUUGACAUUACCAUUUGGAACAAUGAGUCUCAGGAACUGGAGGUGGGAGGGGUGCUUGUGCUCACCCACAAGAAUCUCCAGGGCUAUGGCUGGGGGCCUGGACUGAAAACAAGGCAGUGCUUUCUUCUUGUGCUUUUGUGUCCCCUGAUAUUUAAUUUAUUUUGAAUUUCAGAAAAUGAAAGAAGGGCAUGAGACGUUUUAAAAUUUAUUAAAAGGUUUUCCAAAGCUUGUAAAAUACUAUAUAAGAAGACAUCCAUUUCAAUAUUAUACAUAUCUUAGCCUUUGUACAGGAAAACACUGACUGGUAAAAGCUAGAGGUACAGAGGUCAAAGAAAACAUAUCUUUCAAUGCCCAUUGUUUAAUAAUUCAAUGCAAACCUUCCUUAUUAUGCCUCUAAAAAAAAAUCACUAUUGUUCUAAGAGGAGAGCUGGGAAGAGGUUGCAGCAUCCGCUGGGCACUGAAGACGCAGCUUGUGAAGUUCCAGAAACGGAAGACAGAAGACGUUCAAACCUGUUCUCUUGUCCUGACUGCCAACAAGACUGAUGUGCCAGCAAGCUACGUGCAAAGAUGGAUCUCACUCGUUCAUGCCACUGUAUCAGAAAACUCUACCAUCGGGCUGUUUGCCCAUUAAUUAAAUUGCCUGGUGAGCAUGGAAGGAUGGAGAAAGGAUCGGGACAAGCUGUUUAUUCCUAUGUUUAAGUGAAUUUUUAUUAAACUUUGAAAGGGAAUUGUGAUUUUUUUUUUCUUCCCUGAGUUGAAACCAUUUUAUGAGCACAUACAGGAAAAUAAUGUGAUUAUGUGAUUUCCUUUUUCUAUUGAAUUAUUUGUACUGCUAUUUGUUGUUUGGUUAUCUUCAUUAAACAAUGACCUUCCUGCAAAAUAAAAGCUGGGUCCUAUUUCA